rnacentral:rRNA from 1 species
CAGUAGCCGCGGUAAUACGGAGGGAGCUAGCGUUGUUCGGAAUUACUGGGCGUAAAGCGCGCGUAGGCGGUUAGUCAAGUCAGAGGUGAAAGCCAGGGGCUCAACCCCGGAACUGCCUUUGAAACUAGGUGACUAGAAUCUUGGAGAGGUCAGUGGAAUUCCGAGUGUAGAGGUGAAAUUCGUAGAUAUUCGGAAGAACACCAGUGGCGAAGGCGACUGACUGGACAAGUAUUGACGCUGAGGUGCGAAAGCGUGGGGAGCAAACAGGAUUAGAUACCCGUGUAGUCCCUGUCUCUUAUAA